CUUUAUAAAGCUUGGUUAUAGUGAUUGGACACAGUUUAAACCAGCCUAAAAUGAUGGAAAAUUCCCUGAAGGAAGAAAACAGAACGCAGAAGAAGCUAUCCUUGCUAAUCAGUCACAAAAUAGUUCAGUCCACAAUGCCUACUCCCAGCCCCAACUCUUCUUUAUUCAGCCAAUUCCCACCGUUCUUCAAAACUCAGCUCAGGCAACAGUUCCUUCAGGAAUUCCAUCCUACACACCAGGGCAAUUUGGAAUAAUUAUUGAAAAUCUUCUAAGUAAUGGGUGUCACAAGAGUUCCUGAUAAUCUGAAGAAGAGUGGGAAACAAUGUCUUUAAUUUUAUUUUUUAUUAUUUUUUUUUUGAGACAGAGUCUCGCUCUGUC
rnacentral:lncRNA from 10 species